UACAGAGGUCUCAAGCGUUGUUCGGAUUCAUUGGGCGUAAAGGGUGCGUAGGUGGCGCUGUAAGUCGGGUGUGAAAUCCUGAGGCUUAACCUCAGAAUUGCAUUCGAUACUGCAGUGCUUGAGGACUGGAGAGGAGACUGGAAUUUACGGUGUAGCAGUGAAAUGCGUAGAGAUCGUAAGGAAGACCAGUGGCGAAGGCGGGUCUCUGGACAGUUCCUGACACUGAGGCACGAAGGCUAGGGGAGCAAACGGG
rnacentral:rRNA from 1 species